AGGUGCCUGCCCAACCACUCUGUCCCGGUUUCCUUCAGCAGGACCAGGUCCUUCCUUGUCUCCUUCCCCUCAGCAGUUUGCAGGAACCACCCUGGCAGUAAUGGUGCAGAUGGCUUAUGCACAGCUGGUGGUGACCCGACUUUCCCGUCUCCACCCUGAGGCUCCUCAGAGGCUUCAUGGAACCCAAACUGCUGGUCUCACCUCCGAACCCUGCCCUCGCCCAGGGAGGGCGGCUCCGUCCCUCCUGCACUCCCUAAACCCGCUCUGAAUCACCGCUUCUGUUCUGGGUCGGAGAAUAAAGGUGGGGUUUGC
rnacentral:sRNA from 1 species